rnacentral:rRNA from 1 species
GACAUCCAGACAGGUGGUGCAUGGUUGUCGUCAGCUCGUGUCGUGAGAUGUUGGGUUAAGUCCCGCAACGAGCGCAACCCUUGUAUUCAGUUGCUACGCAAGAGCACUCUGGAUAGACUGCCGUUGACAAAACGGAGGAAGGUGGGGAUGACGUCAAAUCAUCAUGCCCCUUACGACCUGGGCCACACACGUACUACAAUGGCGCACAACAGAGGGAAGCAAGACAGCGAUGUGGAGCAAACCCCUAAAAUGCGUCCCAGUUCAGAUUGCAGGCUGCAACCCGCCUGCAUGAAGUCGGAAUUGCUAGUAAUCGCGGAUCAGCAUGCCGCGGUGAAUACGUUCCCGGGCCUUGUACACACCGCCCGUCACACCAUGGGAGCCGGUAACACCCGAAGUCAGUAGCCUGACCGCAAGGAGGGCGCUGCCGAAGGUGGGAUUGGUGACUGGGGUGAGGUCGUAACAAGGUAGCCGUAUCGGAAGGUGCGGUUGGAUCACCUC